GAGUUUGAUCCUGGUUCAGAUUGAACGCUAGCGGGAUGCCUUACACAUGCAAGUCGAACGGCAGCACGGACUUCGGUCUGGUGGCGAGUGGCGAACGGGUGAGUAAUGUAUCGGAACGUGCCCAGUAGCGGGGGAUAACUACGCGAAAGCGUAGCUAAUACCGCAUACGCUCUACGGGGGAAAGCAGGGGAUCGUAAGACCUUGCACUAUUGGAGCGGCCGAUAUCGGAUUAGCUAGUUGGUGGGGUAACGGCUCACCAAGGCGACGAUCCGUAGCUGGUUUGAGAGGACGACCAGCCACACUGGGACUGAGACACGGCCCAGACUCCUACGGGAGGCAGCAGUGGGGAAUUUUGGACAAUGGGGGAAACCCUGAUCCAGCCAUCCCGCGUGUGCGAUGAAGGCCUUCGGGUUGUAAAGCACUUUUGGCAGGAAAGAAACGUCAUGGGUUAAUACCCCGUGAAACUGACGGUACCUGCAGAAUAAGCACCGGCUAACUACGUGCCAGCAGCCGCGGUAAUACGUAGGGUGCAAGCGUUAAUCGGAAUUACUGGGCGUAAAGCGUGCGCAGGCGGUUCGGAAAGAAAGAUGUGAAAUCCCAGAGCUUAACUUUGGAACUGCAUUUUUAACUACCGGGCUAGAGUGUGUCAGAGGGAGGUGGAAUUCCGCGUGUAGCAGUGAAAUGCGUAGAUAUGCGGAGGAACACCGAUGGCGAAGGCAGCCUCCUGGGAUAACACUGACGCUCAUGCACGAAAGCGUGGGGAGCAAACAGGGAUUAGAUAC
rnacentral:rRNA from 1 species